UUACGGCCAUAUCAUGUUGAAUCAUCGGUUCCCCUACGAUCAACGAAGUAAAGCAAGAUCGAGCCAGGUCAGUACCUAGAUAAGUGACCAUUUCGGAAUACCAAAUGCUGUAAG